CAGUCUAUCUUCCAUUCAUAUUUUGUAAGCAUGCUGACCAUUGGAGAUGUCCAAAUUUUUAGUAUUAGUUGAAAUCCGUGAAUGGUUAUGACUUCAAAUGACAGCCCUUGGAGGGGAGGGGGAAGUCUAACCCCAAUGGUUAUCUACUGUAUUAUUUCAAUUCAAAUCCUCUCUGCCCCUAGAUCUCACGCUGCUGCAAUAAGGAUUGUAGGAGAAUUACGUGCCCUGUUCUCUGUACACUUUUUAUCUGGCAGCGCUUGAAAGUCAACCCAAUUUUGUAUAUUGUAGGUUUAUUACCGAUUUCUGUCCAGUAGCUGAAAUGGAGCUUUGGACCCUGUGAGAUUACUGAUAAAUGAUUGAGAAGAAAUGGGCUCUCAACCCAAACAAAACAGAUUUCUUUUCUCGAAACCUUGCCUGAAGACACACUAAUCUCUAGAGAAGAGAAGGCAUUUCGAUUUUGGAUGAACAGCCUUGGAAAUUCAACAUAUAUUGACAAUGUCUUCGAAGAUCUUCGAAAUGGGUGAGUAUCCUCCUGUUUAAAAGAUAGAGCACAACUUCACCCCUA